GUGAAGGUGAUCUGGCUGCGACAUCGGUCACCCCAUGGAUCAUCAGGGUCGAUUAUUUGGUUGAUCUGGCUGGCCAGGAAGGUGUCCCUUUCCUCCCUCACAUGAGCGUCCCUCCUGAAGCUGAAGCUGUGAAGCUGUGUGCUUGGUCAAAGAGGACGACCACCCCCAAAGAGGAGGACAGUUUCCUGCGCUCUCCUGCUAGAACUUCCAAACAAGCUCUCAAAAAGGGGCUGCCUAAUAACUAUCUGCAAAAUGUUCAUUUUU
rnacentral:snRNA from 1 species